CACACUAGUCACACUCUGUUGCAGCGCUCCGUAACUUCAUGCUUGUGUGGCCUUAUUCAUCUGUGCUUCCCUUAUUGAAGGAGCAAGAUGGCCUGCUGCCUCACUCUCACCUUUCCUUUAAUGAAUAUGUCUGAUCUGAUUCCAUUCCUGUAGGUGCAGCUCCACUGAGGACCGGAAUUCUUAUUGAAAUCCUUAUCAUGAGGCAAGUCAGAUGAGGACAAAUUCUUAUUUACGAUGACGGCCUACCCCGGCCAAACCCAGACGAUGCUGGGCCAAUUGUGCGCCGCCCUAUGGGACUCCUAAUCACGGCCGGAUGAGAUUCAGCCUGGAUCACAGGUAGGCCUUUGAAAAUAUGAGCAAAUCAGCCAUUCUAUGCAGCAUUCUAUUACACAGUGAACAGUGGGAAGUUAAAUUCAAUGUGUUGUAUUGAGUAGAAGUGUGAAUUUGAGUGACAGAUUUUUUGAGAACGGGAACAAGUGUCAGGGGACGUAGCCAACAGGAUGCUAAGCCACUGAUCUUUGAUGAUUUUAUGUUGUUUAAAUUCACUUGCCACAUAAUUGUCGCUUUGCUGAUUUCUUUCAAGAGAAAAUCAACAAACGCCUAAAACUCUAGCGCCUGUUUGUCAGUAGAUAAAGAUACUCCAUGGAUGUAAUGUUGGGUCACAUGCAAAUAUGAUCUAAUAUUAAUCAAAUUCUCAUGAGACCUAGGCAAACUAAAUACAUUGUUCAUCGGUGUGGGUAGUAGUUUUACUUUCUGUCUAAUUAGGUAUUUUCUGAACAAUGUACCUGUCCAUUUAGGGCCGUUCCCAACCUGUUUCGAUUACUGUACGACAAACUGAAUUUUGCUCUGCCAGAAUACCACUGAAGUACCCGCUCCUGCAUUUGACCAGUAGGCCUAUGGUCUCAUGAGUCUUCCCAAGUACCCACUGUGGAUAGGCUAAGUACCCCCAGGGGUUCUUCGUACCCCUGGUUGGAAGCCACUGAUUUAGGGGACACAAUUUGGCCCAGGAGCACCACCAGAGAUGUUUGUCUAUUUUCCUGAUUCUCUGUGGGGUCCCCUAAAUCUCAGUAUAUUCUGUGAAAACCAGAAUGUGUUUACUUAAUGUUUUUAAAUAACAGUUGAUUUCAUGCUAAUAAAAUGUCUAGAAUUCCUGUUUGUAAUAGAAACAAGCAAAACACAGAAGGCCUAUUUUAAAUUGACUUUAUUCUUUAUUCUGCUCAUGUUACAUGGAGAAUAUAGAAAACUAAAGCACUACAGUCAGGAGAUUUUCAGUAAGGUCCAUCCAAGAGCUUCACUCUUCAUCAUGACAUUUCUGUGACAGAAGAUGGAUAAAGGUUCAAAUUGAAUUAACUAUUGUGAACACUAAAAACAUUCUUAGAAUAUUCUGUGGGUCAUCAACUAUAAAUUAAACAAUGGGGCACCUUGUUUGAGUUUACAGAGUACACUACAAACAUCAUGCAUUACACAAACUGUUUACUAGUAAAUUAAAGAUUUUACAAAAAUAAUUAAUGAAGCAACGAUGUCUGGUGUUUAUCUAAGUAAAUGUCUAGUAUUUAUAAGUAAAUAAAAAUGCGAUGCUUGCCAUCACAGUAAGUCACCACUUAAACCAAUAAAUAUUAUGCUUUAGAAAAAACAUUUUUUAACCCAUGACAGGAAAUAUUAUUCAAAUGUAUAGAAUAUAAUAGAAUAACACUUUAUAGGUAGUUGUAUGGUUAUUGGACAUCAAAUAAUUACAAAGAUAUUGAUUUUGGGGCCAUCGUCAUACAUGACAAAUGAAAACCAAUAUAAUUAUUUUGAUGGAAAGAACUGACCUGGGAGCCGACAUCACAACUCUUGACCUCACUCUUCCUCCUUUCCUUUCUGUGAUGGAGAAGAUGGAUUGAUUAUGAGAAAAUGUUUUAUACUGCCAUUUAUACUGUGACCUCUGGUUGAAAUUUUACAGUUGGGAACUUCAACAGGUAUAGUUACUUAGUAACAAUUUAACAAAUAAUUAUUUUCUUCAGGAAUCAAUGGGUGAAUAUAGAGAAUUGAAAUGACCAUUAAACAGAGUCCCAGAUCCCAGACUUCCCAGAGUCCCAGAUCCCAGCUAUUUAAGUUUGAGGAUUUUGCCAUACAUUACAAAUGUUAUCUGCUUAAUUAUAACCAUUACAACUAUGUACAUUGAAACAGCAACUUCACUGACCUUGGAGCCGGAAUCACGACUCUUGGCUCUCAUCUUGUUAACCUGAGACUCAGCAAUAUCAGCCCUCUCCUCUGCCUCAUCCAGUUCAUGCUGAAUCUUGCGGAACUUGCCCAAACUGGAAUUGGCUUGUUCCUCCUGUGAAUAAUGUUAAAUAUGAAUGUUAAAAAUCCUGUGAAUAAUGUUAAGUUUCUUGCAAACAACAAUUUGAGAAUUACAGAUGUAUUAGUUGGAUGAUGGAACAUUUUCUACUUACAGCCUCCUCUGAAGUUCUCUUGUAGGAUUUGACCUUCAGCUGCAGUUUGUCCACCAGGUCCUGAAGACGGGACAAAUUCUUACGGUCUUCCUCAGUCUGUCCCCAAAAAGAAAGGAAAAAAUUGGUCAUUUGUGUGUCUUGCAUUUGAUUCUUAGCAUGUUAAUAAUGCACUGUCAAAUUAAAAUAUAUGAUGUACUUGGUAGGUGA